CACGGGGGGAGCAAGCGUUGUUCGGAAUCACUGGGCGUAAAGGGCGUGUAGGCGGUGUGGUAAGUGAGAUGUGAAAUCCCUCGGCUUACCCGAGGACCGGCAUCUCAUACUGCUACGCUUGAGUACGGGAGAGGAUGAGGGAAUUCCUGGUGUAGCGGUGAAAUGCGUAGAUAUCAGGAGGAACACCGGUGGCGAAAGCGCUCAUCUGGCCCGAUACUGACGCUGAGGCGCGAAAGCUAGGGGAGCAAACGGG
rnacentral:rRNA from 1 species